GCGANUGGGCGAAGCCUGACGCAGCGACGCCGCGUGAGGGAAGAAGGCCUUCGGGUUGUAAACCUCUUUCAGGAGGGACGAAGCUACUCGGGUUAAUAGCCCAGAGGGUGACGGUACCUCCAGAAGAAGCCCCGGCUAACUACGUGCCAGCAGCCGCGGUAAUACGUAGGGGGCAAGCGUUGUCCGGAUUUAUUGGGCGUAAAGCGCGUGUAGGCGGCCAGAUAAGUCCGCUGUGAAAACUCGAAGCUCAACUUCGAGCUGUCGGUGGAAACUAUCUGGCUAGAGUCCGGAAGAGGAGAGUGGAAUUCCUGGUGUAGCGGUGAAAUGCGCAGAUAUCAGGAAGAACACCCGUGGCGAAGGCGGCUCUCUGGUAUGGAACUGACGCUGAGACGCGAAAGCGUGGGGAGCGAACAGGAUUAGAUACCCUGGUAGUCCACGCCGUAAACGAUGGGUGCUAGGUGUGGGGGGUGUCAACUCCCUCCGUGCCGAAGCUAACGCAUUAAGCACCCCGCCUGGGGAGUACGGCCGCAAGGCUAAAACUCAAAAAAAUUGACGGA
rnacentral:rRNA from 1 species